rnacentral:rRNA from 1 species
UACGGGGGGGGCAAGCGUUGUUCGGAAUUACUGGGCGUAAAGGGCGCGUAGGCGGCUUUGCGUGUCUUCCGUGAAAUCCCUCGGCUCAACCGAGGACGUGCGGAAGAAACUGCAAGGCUCGAGUCCGGAAGAGGAGAGUGGAAUUCCUGGUGUAGCGGUGAAAUGCGCAGAUAUCAGGAAGAACACCCGUGGCUAAGGCGGCUCUCUAGUACGGUACUGACGCUGAGACGCGAAAGCGUGGGGAGCGAACAGG